CUUUUCGUGAUUUUCUUGCCUGUUAUCAGUACCUGUACGAUCGAAGCUGCUUUUACUGAAGUACACCUUUAGGAACAUCAAACUGCAAGUAACGCGGUAGUGUCUUGCCACCAUCAUUCUGAAAUAUCUAUUUGGAUUGUCAGAACCAAAUCAAGGAUACCAUGGCAGCAAACAAAAUGAAAGCGAUUAAGGUUAGCAAGUUGGGGAGCCCCGAAGUGAUGACACUUGAGGAGAUGGACAGGCCAGUACCAAAACCGGGACAAGUGCUAGUGAAAAUUAAAGCCGCCGGAGUGAAUCCCGUGGACGUUUAUGUCCGGGAAGGACAUUUCGGUUCCUAUACGUUGCCGAUGGGAAUGGGUGGCGACGCAGCCGGCGUUAUAGCAGAAGUACCGGCCGGCGAAAGCCGAUUUAAAGUGGGUGAUCGGGUGUUUACGUGCGAAGGCGCUGACCCGCUGACGGGCGCGUAUGCUGAAUACGCGUUGGUGCCGGUGCGUAAUGUCUUCCCGCUGCCGGAUGUUCUGUCCUUCAGCCAGGGCGCCGCCCUAGGUAUACCGUAUCUGACCGCUCUACGGUGUCUUAUGAUAAAGGCAAACGCUAAACCCAAUGAAACUGUGCUCGUUCAUGGCGCUAGUGGCGCAGUCGGAUUAGCAGCUUGUCAGAUUGCGUCGGCAUGGAAGAUGCAGGUAUUCGGAACAGCGGGUACGGAAGAAGGACUAAAACUCAUCCGCGACAACGGAGCCGCAACCGUUUUUGACCAUCACGAUAAGAAUCACAAGAAAAAUCUAAUGGAUGCAACGGGUGGUAAAGGAUUUGAUGUCAUCCUGGAGAUGCUGGCCAAUGAGAACCUGGGAACCGAUAUUGAAGUGGUAGCGGAGUUUGGUCGUAUCGUGAUUAUUGGCAGUCGCGGGGAAGCCAAGUGCAGCCCGGUGUACAUGAUGGGCAAGGAAGCUAUGUGUGUGGGUGUACUGUUGAUGAAGUCCACGGAUGAAGAGUGGAAGCGGAUUGGUGACGAACUGGUCAAGGGCAUCAAUGAGGGCUGGGUUAGGCCCAUUAUUGACCAGGAAUUCCCUCUGAAUCAAGCCGCUGAGGCGCACAAGGCGGUUAUGCAGCAUACCGGAGGUUCCAAGGGGAAAAUCGUGCUCAUCCCAUAAACGAUAGCGGAGAACCUGCAGGUGCACUCUGGAAUCAAGGUUGAAGACUACAUCAAUAAUGCUGUUAUUUCUGCUGUUUUUUGCCGGUUCCGUUUUAAGAUAAUGACGUCUUUAUCAGAUCGACAAAAAAAUUAGGUUCCGUUCAAAAGAUAUGCGCGCUCCGCAUAAUCGACAAAUAGUCCUACAACCCUUUAUUCUAUUUAAGUCUAAAGAAACCACAAAAAAUAUCCGAUCAAUUGUGCUAUUUGGCGGCCAUGUGGAUAAUAUUCAAUACAGCAUUU